GACGAACGCUGGCGGCGUGCUUAACACAUGCAAGUCGAACGGAAAGGCCCUGCUUUUGUUGGGUGCUCGAGUGGCGAACGGGUGAGUAACACGUGAGUAACCUGCCCUUGACUUUGGGAUAACUUCAGGAAACUGGGGCUAAUACCGGAUAGGAGCUCCUGCUGCAUGGUGGGGGUUGGAAAGUUUCGGCGGUUGGGGAUGGACUCGCGGCUUAUCAGCUUGUUUGUGGGGUAGUGGCGUACCAAGGCUUUGACGGGUAGCCGGCCUGAGAGGGUGACCGGCCACAUUGGGACUGAGAUACGGCCCAGACUCCUACGGGAGGCAGCAGUGGGGAAUAUUGCACAAUGGGCGGACGCCUGAUGCAGCAACGCCGCGUGCGGGAUGACGGCCUUCGGGUUGUAAACCGAUUUCGCAUGUGACGAAGCGUGAGUGACGGUAAUGGGUAAAGAAGCACCGGCUAACUACGUG
rnacentral:rRNA from 1 species